rnacentral:rRNA from 1 species
UACGUAGGGUGCGAGCGUUGUCCGGAAUUAUUGGGCGUAAAGAGCUCGUAGGCGGUGUGUCACGUCGGCCGUGAAAACCUGCAGCUUAACUGUGGGCGUGCGGUCGAUACGGGCAUCACUGGAGUUCGGCAGGGGAGACUGGAAUUCCUGGUGUAGCGGUGAAAUGCGCAGAUAUCAGGAGGAAGACCGGUGGCGAAGGCGGCCUGCUGGGCAGUUACUGACACUGAGUGACGACGACAGCGGUGGGGAAGCAAACGAGG